rnacentral:rRNA from 1 species
UGUAGUCAUAUGCUUGUCUCAAAGAUUAAGCCAUGCAUGUCUAAGUAUAAGCAAUUAUACAGCGAAACUGCGAAUGGCUCAUUAAAUCAGUUAUUGUUUAUUUGAUAGUACCUUACUACAUGGAUAACCGUGGUAAUUCUAGAGCUAAUACAUGCUAAAAACCCCAACUUCGGAAGGGGUGUAUUUAUUAGAUUAAAAACCAAUGCCCUUCGGGGCUCCCUGGUGAUUCAUAAUAACUUCUCGAAUCGCACGGCCUUGCGCCGGCGAUGGUUCAUUCAAAUUUCUGCCCUAUCAACUUUCGACGGCAGGGUCUUGGCCUGCCAUGGUGACAACGGGUAACGGAGGGUUAGGGCUCGACCCCGGAGAAGGAGCCUGAGAAACGGCUACUACAUCCAAGGAAGGCAGCAGGCGCGCAAAUUACCCAAUCCCGACUCGGGGAGGUAGUGACAAUAAAUACUGAUACAGGGCUCUUUUGGGUCUUGUAAUUGGAAUGAGUACAAUUUAAAUCCCUUAACGAGGAACAAUUGGAGGGCAAGUCUGGUAAUCG